UACGGAGGGUGCGAGCGUUGUCCGGAAUCACUGGGCGUAAAGGGCGCGUAGGCGGCGCGGAUAGUCGGCGGUGAAAGCCCGGAGCUCAACUCCGGGUCGGCCGUCGAUACUUCCGGGCUUGAGCACUGUAGAGGCAGAUGGAAUUCCGGGUGUAGCGGUGGAAUGCGUAGAGAUCCGGAAGAACACCGGUGGCGAAGGCGGUCUGCUGGGCAGUUGCUGACGCUGAGACGCGAAAGCGUGGGGAGCGAACAGG
rnacentral:rRNA from 1 species